rnacentral:antisense_RNA from 1 species
CGAGUUAGAAUAGUUACGUCUAUUUGGAGUUUUAAUACCAGAAUUAUCAUUGGAUGAAUUAAUGGUUGUUCCAACUCUAGGGAGUUCUUCAUAUAAAUGCGCUUGUGUCUUCAUGCGAACCUCCUCUCUCUUACGACGUAAAAACUCUAUGGCUCUUCUUUGCGCCUCUUCGAAUCCAAGCUUUCUUGCGGAAAAUGUCUUUGACCUUCUUUGAUUAUCUUCCUUCCAAAAUGCAAGCCAAGCCAUCUGGCGAUUCGACCAUGAAACACCUUUACACCCUGACUUUGGAUUUAAAAGACGGUUCAUAGCAUCCUGUCUAGAAGAUGAGUUGCCUUCAUUAUCAUGAGUAUUAUCCCCCGUAUCGUCGCUAUCACUUCCAU